rnacentral:snRNA from 1 species
UAAGUUCCAUAACGGCGUUUUGU